AACUGUAUCAACAUCCAUCGAAACUAUAGAAGAACCUCAACUUUUGAAACUUGAAACAAAACCAAGCUCCCACUGAUUUAGACUUCCUUAUCAGCUGUCAAUCCCAUACUAAAAACAUGUCUAUGAAAAACAUCAUUUGGCACUCCUUUAGUAAGUGGAUCUGCAAUCAUUUGUUCUGUUCCUAUAUGAUCUAUGGUGGUGUAUCAUUGACUGAUCUUUUCCUUGACGAUUAUGAACUUUACAUCCAGUAGCCUUGAACCUCUUGUUCUUUUGUUUCCCUUGGCAAAAGUCACUGCUGCACUAUUGUCAUUCCAUAGCUGAAUGGGCCUAUGAAUCGAUUCCACCACACUUAAGCUAAUAAUAAAGUUCCUCAACCACAUAGCUUGUGAAGUGGCUUCAUAGCAUGCUAGAAAUUCAGCAAGCAUUGUGGAUCCUGCUGUGAGAGGCUGUUUUAUGCUUCUCCACGAAACUGCAGCUCCUCCAAACAUAAACACAAAACCAGAUGUGGAUUUUAAUGUGUCUUGACAACCUGCAAAGUCUGCAUCUGCAAAUCCUUGUAAUUCCAAAUUCUCCCUUCUUUUGAAUACCAGCUUGUAGUCUUUUGUUCUCUGUAGGUAUCUCAUGACUUUCUUCCCUGCAACCUGUUGUUAAAAUGUUAACUCGCAAUUGUACGGGCCAAUUAGUAGUAUAGCAAGACAAGUACGAGGUCGUACCCACGAGGACUGAGAAGUUAAAAUUAGUUAUGUACUUAGAUUACCAAAUUCAAGAAAGUAGGAGGUUAAGUCUAAAAUAGAAUUUAAAGCAAGAGUAAUUGUAAUUGUUGAACAAAUGAGGCAAAACGAAAUUUCAAACAAAAGCAAAGUGAACAAAUGUAACAAAGAGUACUUUUGUAGGCUGGAAAACAGAUUGGGAGACUAGGGCAUUCGAUUCACCAUAACAAUUCAAUUCUGGGUUAUAAGGAGUCAAGUGACAAGUCUCAUUCGAAUUCAAAGAUUGAUUCUAGCUAAAGUAUGAUUAGGCCAUGGUGUCUGGUCCUAACCCUGUGCUCCUAAUUACCUAACUUGAUCAUUUGUUGUCUAAUCUAAAUUAAGCAUUAGGAACCCAUUAAGCAUAGAAGAACAAUUUAAACAACCAAGCAUGUAUCUAAUCCCUGUUGUCGAAUGUCCAUACAUACUUUUCUUAUUCAUAGUUCAAUUCAAAUCAAAGCAUGGUGUCUACUCUUGAUUCAAACCAAGGUAGCUAAUAUACAAGUUCUAAUGGUGAUCAAUCAUCCAAACAAGCAUAUUAACUGAUAAGCAUAAAGAAUAGGAAUAUGAAUCAUGAAUCAAACUUGAAACUCAAAACUUCAACUUAUAAACCCAGAAUAUUCAUGUUAGGUUACAUCAUAGCCCUAGUUAUGAAUUUAGCUACUCAUAAUGGAAAUGAAACUUAAGCAAAAAUGAGAAAACAUAUUGAAUGCAAUAAGAGUAGAGAAACCCAAUUCUGAAGUUGCUUGUGGUUUCCAAGGCUUCUCCAGGUGCUUCUCCACGUCUAAUGCUACUCCAAGAACUUUCUCAUGUCUAGAGUAUGGCAACUAAAGAGGUGAUUUGGGAUGAGUUUGGGUGGUUGGUAAUGGCAGAGAAAGAACAAAUUCGUAGGAAAUGGAAGGAAGGCUUGUUGGAGUUGUUCCUCCUGAUUUUGGGCUGAAUGGAGUGGUAUAGGAUGGCUGGAGUGAAUUAUUGGUCAAUUGAGUGAAUCCUUUGCCUUUGAGUAGCUGACACACCUCCCUAAAUUGCUCCCUAAAUUGCUCAACAUGUCUGGUCUAAAGUCAAGGCUCCUUUGCACUUGAGUAGCUGACACACCUCCCUUAAUUGCUCAACAUGUCAGGUCUAAAGUCAAGGAAAGCUGUGGUGAGUCACAUGGCUCUCCUCUGCACUUGAGUAGCUGACAGACCUCCCUUAAUUGCUCAACAUGUCAGGUCUAAAGUCAAGGAAAGCUGUGGUGAGUCACAUGGCUCAAAGAAAGUAUCCAAGGCUCAACAACUGGAAACUGCAAUCCUGAGCCUGGUGUGUAUAUGGGCUCACGAAUUGGGCUCAACUUCAUAAUCUGAUGCAUUUGAGUAGUCCAUCUUGAAGUUCAGACUCUCAUCUUUCCAACUACAUAUUAUUUGGGCCAAUCCAAGUUCGGAGAAAGAUGUUAAGGCCGAAAUGAGUUGCUAACCCAGU
rnacentral:lncRNA from 1 species